ACGGGGGAUAACCCGCUGAAAGGCGGGCUAAGACCGCGUACGCUCUCUUCUGGAGGAGGGAGAGAGGAGAGGAUCACGCGAGGAGUGUGGUCUGGCCUGUGCGGGACGUGCGCCUGAUUAGCUAGUUGGUGGGGUAACGGCCUACCAAGGCGACGAUCAGUCGCUGGUCUGAGAGGAUGACCAGCCACACUGGGACUGAGACACGGCCCAG
rnacentral:rRNA from 1 species